GAUAGAAGUUAAUGUAACCCGAAAAUUAAACGAAAUAUAUCCCUGAAAAUCCCUGAAACGCGUCCUAACCUCGUUUCGAAUCAAAACAAAACCAGCUGACAUCAGCAAACAUCAAAAUAACGAAAAACGUCAAUUAGUUUCUCAUAAAAUCGGGUCGUUGUUGUUGUUUGGUGCUCUUUUUGUGCGAAAGAUCGCCCGCAAAUGAUCCGGGUGUGCGAUUCGAACAGGAUGUAAAAUCCAGAAAAAUCAUGGAUAAAAAAAUUCAUUGCGGCGGUUUUGACUUCUUUUGCAACUUUGAUUCUGCAAAUCUCGCCAAAGUCGAUCUUGUCCCAACCAGUGAAACUGUAAUUACAACUGCUGCAGCCAAUGUGGGAAAAGGAUAUAUCCCUGAGAUUCCUGAUGUUGAAUUCAACCUUUGGACUAAACAUGAUUGUUGUGGGACUCAAUUUGAGAAUCCUAAUAGGACGUGGUUUUAUUUUGGAAUGAGAGGUACUUAAUUUUUUAUUA